AACGAACGCUGGCGGCAGGCCUAACACAUGCAAGUCGAGCGAGGACUUCGGUCCUAGCGGCGGACGGGUGAGUAACGCGUGGGAACGUGCCCUUUGCUACGGAAUAGCCCCGGGAAACUGGGAGUAAUACCGUAUGUGCCCUUCGGGGGAAAGAUUUAUCGGCAAAGGAUCGGCCCGCGUUGGAUUAGGUAGUUGGUGGGGUAAUGGCCUACCAAGCCGACGAUCCAUAGCUGGUUUGAGAGGAUGAUCAGCCACACUGGGACUGAGACACGGCCCAGACUCCUACGGGAGGCAGCAGUGGGGAAUCUUUGACAAUGGGGAAACCCUGAUCUAGCCAUGCCGCGUGAGCGAUGAAGGCCUUAGGGUUGUAAAGCUCUUUCAGUGGGGAAGAUAAUGACGGUACCCACAGAAGAAGCCCCGGCUAACUCCGUGCCAGCCGCCGCCGUAACAC
rnacentral:rRNA from 1 species